CAUUUUACCUCCCUCUGCUCUUCACCAUUCUCAGUCUCAUCAUUCUCCUCCUCUUUCCAAACGUCCAUCGUUAGAUGCGCCCAAGGAAAGAAACGAAACGGCGGGUCCCAGUGGUCCUCUUAAUCCUGUUCCUCUCCAUCUUAAACCCCUUACACCUACAAAACAUCCUUCUUUAAACAUGAAGAAAGAAAGAAAAGACACAAGAGACACAGUAAACCACUCA